UAUCUCUGUAGAGUCUGCAUAUCAAUAAGCGGAGGAAAAGAAACUAACAAGGAUUCCCUUAGUAACGGCGAGUGAAGCGGGAAGAGCUCAAAUUUGAAAUCUUCAAGGUUCUACCUUGACGAAUUGUAGUUUAAAGAAGUGUUUUCUGUUAGAUGAGUAGCAAAAGUUCCUUGGAAUGGGACAUCAUAGAGGGUGAGAAUCCCGUAUUUGGUUAUUCAUUCUAGCUUUGUGAUACACUUUCAAAGAGUCGGAUUGUUUGGGAAUGCAGUCCAAAAUGGGUGGUAAAUUUCAUCUAAAGCUAAAUAUUGGCGAGAGACCGACAGCGAACAAGUACCGUGAGGGAAAGAUGAAAAGAACUUUGAAAAGAGAGUUAAACAGUACGUGAAAUUGUCAAAAGGGAAGCGUUUGACACCAGUGUUGUUUUUCCGAAAAUCAAUUACGAAUGGCUUGAUUUUGUGUUGUAUUGACCUUAUCAGCUUUCUUCACUUUUUUCGAGUCUUUCUUAAUGCACUUUUCGGUUAACAAGUCAACAUCAAUUUCUUUUGUUGUAAAAGAGUAUUCGGAAGGUGGCUUUCUUUUCGGAGAAAGUGUUUAUAGCCCUAUACUUCUACAAUCGGAGAGAUUGAGGUCUGCAGCGUAGAUCCUUCGGGGUUAGAUACAUUUGUGCUAAGUUGUAGCUUUUCAUAGACAACUUGUUGACUAUGUUUAGUCAUGCGGCUUACUCGCUUAUGCUAUUUUACCUACGCUUAGGAUGUUGACUGAUAUGUAGUCGUA
rnacentral:rRNA from 1 species